rnacentral:misc_RNA from 1 species
AAUGUAUAUUCAGCCUGCGGAGCUGGAGUUUUCUGCUUAGUCAUGUCUGGUUAUGGGAAGCUAAAGGGGAGCUCUUGUUGAUAUCCAAUGUUUGUUUUGUUGGGGAUUUUUUCCAUUCAAUCCAUGUUCAGCAAGAUGAUCAGUUCCUGACACAGGUUUAUUCUGCAUUUUCUAAGCAUUUUUUGCAUUCUCCAGUAGAUUAUUCUCAUGUGCCAAAUGAAAUGUAGAUGAAUUAGUUGUCUGGUCUUUCAGGUCAUGGGAGGUCAUUUCAGUUACAGGCUUUUGUUACUGCAAUUAGGAUAUUGAAUCCUCUGCAGUUGCAUCUAAAUUAAUGCUACAAUAAAUAGAAAACUGCUUCAUGUCUAGAAUCUUUGUUGAAUUCUUUUCCAUCAUAC